rnacentral:rRNA from 1 species
GUUAAAAUUAAUAAAAAUAAAUUAUAAAUAAUAAAAUUAAUUUUUAUAUUAAAAUUGGGGGGUUUUAGUAUAAUUAAGAAAAAAUUAUAAUUUUUAUAGAAAAUUAGUAUUGUGAAAGAAUUUUGAAAUAAAAUUGAAAAUAAAAUAAUAAAAAAGUAAAUUUAAUUUAUUGUAUCUUGUGUAUCAGAGUUUAUUAAAUAAUAAAUUUAGAUAAAUUUUUCUUGAAUUAAAAAGAGAUAAUUAAUUAUAAAAGUUAUUGUAGCAAAAAUAUUUUAAAUAAUUAAUUUGAAAUGAAAUGUUAAACGUUUUUUAAUAUAUUUAGUUUUUUUAGAAAAAAAUUUAAUUUUAAAUAUAUUUUAUAAAAUAAUUUAUUAUUUAUAUAGUAAUUUAUUUUAAAAUAUAAUUUUAUAUUUUAAGGGAUAAGCUUUAAAUUAAAUUAUUAUAAAUAAUUUAUUUAAUAAAUAAAUAAAAUUUUAGAAUUUAAAUUGUUAAUAAAUUUUAUUUUGUUAUAAAUAAUUUUAAUUUAUUAAAAAAAAAAUUUAAUUAAGUUUUAAUUAUAUAUAAAAAAAUAAUUUUAAAUAAAAAAUAUUUAGUUAUAAUGAUAAAAUUAGUAUAUAAAUAAAUUUUAUUUAAAUUUUCAAUAAAAUAAAAAAAAAAUUAAUUUAAAGGAAUUCGGCAAAUAUUUAUAUUCACUUGUUUAUCAAAAACAUGUCUUUUUGAAUUAUAAUUUAAAGUCUAAUCUGCCCACUGAUUUAUAUUAAAGGGCUGCAGUAUAUUGACUGUACAAAGGUAGCAUAAUCAAUAGUCUUUUAAUUGAUGACUAGAAUGAAAGAUUGGAUGAAAUAUAUACUGUCUCUAAAUUAAUAUAUAGAAUUUAAUUUUUUAAUUAAAAAGUUAAAAUGAUAUUAAAAGACGAGAAGACCCUAUAGAGUUUUAUAAUUUAAAUUUAUUAAAAUUAUAUAUAAAAAUUAUUUAAUAAAAAUAGAUUUAAUUAUUUUGUUGGGGUGAUAGAAAAAUUAAUAAAACUUUUUUUUAAUAAAAAUCAUAAAUAAAUGAAUAAAUGAUCCAAAAUUUUUGAUUAAAAGAAAAAAUUACCUUAGGGAUAACAGCGUAAUUUUUUCUUUUAGUUCAAAUAAAAGAGAAAGUUUGCGACCUCGAUGUUGGAUUAAGAUAAAAUUUAAAUGCAAAAGUUUAAAAUUUUGAUCUGUUCGAUCAUUAAAAUCUUACAUGAUCUGAGUUCAAACCGGUUUAAGCCAGGUUGGUUUCUAUCUUUAAUAAAAUAAAAUAAUAUAGUACGAAAGGAAUUAUUAUUUAAAUUAAAUUUUUAUUAUGAAUUACAUUAAUAAGAAAAAAAAAUAAAUUAUU